rnacentral:rRNA from 1 species
UACGGAGGGUGCGAGCGUUGUCCGGAAUCACUGGGCGUAAAGGGCGCGUAGGUGGUGGCUUAAGCGUGCGGUGAAAGCUCGGGGCUCAACUCCGAGUCGGCCGUGCGAACUGGGCUCACUGGAGCAUAGUAGAAGCAGGUGGAAUUCCGGGUGUAGCGGUGGAAUGCGUAGAGAUCCGGAAGAACACCGGUGGCGAAGGCGGCCUGCUGGGCUAUGGCUGACACUGAGGCGCGACAGCGUGGGGAGCAAACAGG